rnacentral:rRNA from 1 species
GACGAACGCUGGCGGCGUGCCUAAUACAUGCAAGUCGAACGCAGUGGGGAUGGGUGAGGAACACGUGGGUAACCUCCCAUCAGAGGGGAUAAACCUUGGAAACAGGUGCUAAACCGAUACUGAUUGAUGGAACCGGGGUGCAUUAGCUAGUUGGUGAGGUAACGGCUCACCAAGGCCACGAUGCAUAGCCGAGCUGAGAGGGUGAUCGGCCACACUGGGACUGAGACACGGCCCAGACUCCUACGGGAGGCAGCAGUGGGGAAUCUGCGACAAUGGACGAAAGUCUGACCGAGCAACGCCGCGUGAGGGAAGAAGGUUUUCGGAUCGUAAAGCUCUGUUGUUAGAGAAGCGGUAUCUAACCAGAAAGCCACGGCUAACUACGUGCCAGCCGCCGCGGUAAUAC